GGCCAUGUCAGUUGGUUAGAGCGUGGUGCUACUAACACCAAGGUUGCAGGUUCGAUCCCCGUAUGGGCCA